rnacentral:rRNA from 1 species
AGCUGAUGCAGCAUGCGCGUGUUGAGAGUCUCGAUGUAAGUACUUCAGCGGGAGGAGCGUAGCUAUACCUCAGUGAUGACGUACGGCAGAUGAGCACGCUACUCCGUGCCAGCAGCCGCGGUAUCCGGAGGGUGCAGCGUUAUCGGAUUACUGGGCGUAAGCGCACUCAGUCGUCUUCAAGUCGAAUGUGAAAUCCCCGGGCUCACCUGGAACUGCAUUCGAACUGGCAGCUAGAGUCUGUAGAGGGGGUAGAAUUCCAGUGGUAGCGGUGAAAUGCGUAGAGAUGUAGAGGACUACCGGUGGCGAAGGCGGCCCCUUGGACAAUGACUGACGCUCAGGUGCGAAAGCGUGGGGAGCAACCAGGAUUAGAUACCUUGUUAGUCCACGCGGUAAACGAUGUAGACUUGGAGGUUGUGCCCUUGAGGCGUGGCUUCCGGAGCUAACGCGUUAAGUCGACCGCCUGGGGAGUACGGCCGCAAGGUUAAAACUCAAAUGAAUUGACGGGGGCCCGCACAAGCGGUGGACCAUGUGGUUUAAUUGGAUGCAACGGGAAGACCUUUACAUACUCUUGACAUCCAGAGAAUUUACCAGAGAUGAUUUGGUCCUUUCGGGAAUUUUGAGCCAGGUGCUCCAUGGCUGUCGUCAGUUCGUGUUGUGAAAUGUUGGGUUAAGUCCCGCAACGAGCCCAACCUUUAUCCUUUGUUGCCACCGGUUAGGCCGGGCACUCAAAGGAGACUGCCAGUGAUAAACUGGAGGAAGGUGGGGAUGACGUCAAGUCAUCAUGGCCCUUACGAGUAGGGCUACACACGUGCUACAAUGGCGCAUACAAAGAGAAGCCACCUCGCGAGAGCAAGCGGACCUCAUAAAGUGCGUCGUAGUCCGGAUUGGAGUCUGCAACUCGACUCCGUGAAGUCGGAAUCGCUAGUAAUCGUGGAUCAGAAUGCCACGGUGAAUACGUUCCCGGGCCUUGUACACACCGCCCGUCACACCAUGGGAGUGGGUUGCACACAAGAAGUAGGUAGUCUAACCUUCGGGAGACGCUACCACGGUGGAUCUUG